UUGUUGCGCCCAAUAGGGGACUCUGUUGCUGGAGGCAAGGACAUAAACAGCUUCCAGCUUGUUUAUAGUUUAAUAAGUAACAUUUGUGCUUCAACAGCUACCUGAAGUGCGCACAUGCAGAAGGAGACUGUGCUGUGGUUCCUCUGGCCCUGGACAAGCACAGGCCAGCCAGAACCAAAGCUGAGAGAUGGAUGGAAAGUGAGAGCUUCACCUGCGGGCCCCGUGCUGAAGGUCAGCUGGGAUUUGCCACUCCGCAGACGCUUCUGGCCCCAGUAGGCGAAGGCCUGCACCUGCGCUAGGUUCCGGGGAGUCGCCGGGGGCAACGGUUCUGGAGCAAGAUGGCAGAGGAAUCUCCAUAGUACCGCGCAACUGGAUCCUGUGCUUUGAACAAAAAAAAAAUACAGACAAACCAGGGGAGGGGAGAGCUUCCUGAAAGAUAAUACCCUCUCUGGACAGCGAGAUCACUCCACAGAACAGACGGGGAAACUGCGCCAUGGGCCUGGGGGCCGUUGAGUCAAAUCCGUUGGUGGAAAUGAGAGCCAAGGGUCCACACCAGCUGCCUGCCCCCUUAUGCCCAUUCCCUAAACCAGUGCUUUACAAUACGGUCCUUGGGGACAGCCCACAUUUUUGCUCCCUCCGGUAGAGAGCUAGGAGGGAGCAAAAAUGUGGACUCUCUGGCAGGGAGCUUGGAGGGUGCAAAAAUGUGGACUGUCUGGCAGGGAGCAAAAAUGUGGACUCUCUGGCAGGGAGCUUGGAGGGCGCAAAAAUGUGAACCGGCUGGGGGUCCCCGAGGACCAGAUUGGGAAACACUGACCUGAACAACUCCACGUUACACAUUUGGAGCUGUCGACAAGUUAAUGCUUCUUUCAGGGACGGUCACCGUUCCAAGGCCUGAGGGAAGAACCUUCUAUGACUGGUCUCUUUAUAAAUUAAACUUGCCAGGAGGCAGAAAGCAAAAGACCUGUUAAAUAAACCACGUCUCUGAUGUGCCACAGCAGUUAAACAGUUUAUGACUAUUGUGGAUUUAAGGUCUCAGUGUUAAUUUAAAAUAUUUUACAAUGUUCCACAUCCCAAACUUCCGAAGAGCUGCUAGCUGGAGUUAUUCCGGUUGAAGUAGGCCAACCUUUUUCAAUUUUUUUAAAACAAAAAAACUGUCAACAGCCAAAUUAAGGAGUCGGCUGUCAAACGUUUGAAAGGUUCACACUUCAGCAGUUGUGUGAAAAUCCUCCCUGCCCUCAUUUGGUGUCCAAGAUGAAAGAACCUGGGCUUGAUUAGAGGGACCCGAAGGCCGGCGACUCCGUGGACGAAUGAAAAGGACAGUAGAGCGUUGUAGGGGAGCCGGGAAAUAAGAAACCUGCUCCUCGGACAUCUGACUCAUCUCCACAAAAGGAAAAACCACCAGAUGCUGUGUCUUUUCACCUUUCCUUUGACGGAUGUGGAAAAAAUAAUCUGAACGAAAUGCUUUGCUCUUAUGAGUUUGAGAGCAACAAAAUAAAAGAUGAAAAGGAAAAAUAUUCUCGCAAAUAUGUUUUCCAUUGCUGCCAUUUCUGUCCAUGAUGUCUAUAUUCAAGAUGUCUGCAAAUAAUUACAUUCUGUGUUCCUUU